rnacentral:rRNA from 1 species
CACGUAGGGUGCGAGCGUUGUCCGGAAUUAUUGGGCGUAAAGAGCUCGUAGGCGGUGUGUCGCGUCGGCCGUGAAAACCUGCAGCUUAACUGUGGGCUUGCGGCCGAUACGGGCAUCACUGGAGUUCGGCAGGGGAGACUGGAAUUCCUGGUGUAGCGGUGAAAUGCGCAGAUAUCAGGAGGAACACCGGUGGCGAAGGCGGGCCUCUGGGCCGAUACUGACGCUGAGGAGCGAAAGCGUGGGGAGCGAACAGG